rnacentral:rRNA from 1 species
UUGGAAACGAUUGCUAAUACCCCAUAUGCUUGAGAGUGAAACGGAUUUAUCCGCCUAGAGAAAAGCUCGCGGCUGAUUAGCUAGUUGGUAAGGUAAUGGCUUACCAAGGCGACGAUCAGUAUCUGGUUUGAGAGGACGAUCAGACACACUGGAACUGAGACACGGUCCAGACUCCUACGGGAGGCAGCAGUGGGGAAUUUUCCGCAAUGGGCGAAAGCCUGACGGAGCAAUACCGCGUGAGGGAAGACGGCCUAUGGGUUGUAAACCUCUUUUUUCAGGGAGGAAUCAAUGACGUGUACCUGAAGAAUAAGCAUCGGCUAACUCCGUGCCAGCAGCCGCGGUAAGACGGAGGAUGCAAGUGUUAUCCGGAAUCACUGGGCGUAAAGCGUCUGUAGGUGGUUUAAUAAGUCAACUGUUAAAUCUUGGGGCUCAACCUCAAAAUCGCAGUCGAAACUAUUAGACUAGAGUAUAGUAGGGGUAAAGGGAAUUUCCAGUGGAGCGGUGAAAUGCGUAGAGAUUGGAAAGAACACCGAUGGCGAAGGCACUUUACUGGGCUAUAACUGACACUCAGAGACGAAAGCUAGGGUAGCAAAUGGGAUUAGAUACCCCAGUAGUC